rnacentral:rRNA from 1 species
AGAGGUGGCAAGCGUUGUUCGGAUUUACUGGGCGUAAAGUGUGCGUAGGUGGUUUUGUAAGUUGAAUGUGAAAGACCCCCAGCUCAACUGGGGAAUUGCAUCCAAUACUGCAAAGCUAGAGGACUUGGGAAGUGAGCGGAAUUCUCGGUGUAGCGGUGAAAUGCGUAGAUAUCGAGAAGAACACCAGUGGCGCAGGCGGCUCGCUAUCAUUCUCCUGACACUGAGGCACGAAAGCGUGGGGAGCGAACGGGAUUAGAUACCCCGGUAGUCCACGCCGUAAACGAUGAGAACUGGGUGUUUGAGGUAUCGACCCCUCGAGUGCCGAAGCUAACGCAUUAAGUUCUCCGCCUGGGGAGUACAAACCGCAAGGUUA